rnacentral:tRNA from 1 species
GGGGAUGUAGCUCAGUUGGUUUAGAGUGCCUGUCUGUCGAACAUGAAGUCGCGGGUUCGAUUCCCGUCAUCCCCG